CGGUUGGGGAAGAGGUGUGGACACAUGGUCACGUGACACAUGGACAUGCUACACACGGUCACGUGACACACGGACAUGCUACACACGGUCACAUGACACACGGACACGCAACAUAAAGCAACAGGUGAGAACACGUGUGACAGGAGGACACGUGACAGCGACACGUAACGGGGACACGUGACACGGAUGGAACACGUGGUCAUGUGACACUGACAUGUAACGGGGACACGUAACAUACAGAUGGAACACGUGUUCAUGUGACAAUGACAUGCAAUAGGGACACGUGACGCAUGGCUGUAACACGUGGUCAUGUCACACUGACACGUAUGAAGGACAUGUGGACAUGUGACACACACGCAUGACACGACGACAUGGGAACACGUAAUGCAGUGACGUGUAGACAUGUGACACACACACAUGACACAAUAACAUGAGAUGGACACACAUGACGCAAUGACACGCGUGAUACCACAGCAUGACAUGAGGACACACGUGACGCAAUGACAUGGGGACACGUGUGACACACGUGUGACACAAGGCCAUGGGAACAGACGUGGCACAGUGAUGGGGACACAUGACACAACAACAUGGGGACAUGUGACACGCGUGUGACACAACAACAUGGGGACAUGUGACACGCAUGUGACGCAACAACAUGACACACGGACACGUGACACAGCGACAGGAACACACAUAACACAAUGACAUGGGGACACGUGACGCAAUGACGGGGACACACGUGACACAAUGACAUGGAGACGUGUGACACACGUGUGACACAAGGCCAUGGGAACACACGUGGCACAGGGAUGGGGACACACGUGACACAAUGAGGUGGGAACACGUGACACGCGUGUGAUACGACAUGGGAACACACGUGGCACGGUGAUGGACACACACACAAUGAGGUGGGGACAUGUGACACGCAUGUGACACAACGACACAACACAUGGACAUGCGUGACAACAACAUGACAGGAGGACACGUGACACGGUGAUGGGGACACACGUGACACGUUGACAGAGGAACAUGUGACACACGUGUGACCCAAUGACAUGGGAACACACGUGACGCAGUGACAUGGGGACAUGUGACACACACGUGACACAACAACAUGACAUGGGGACACGCGACGCAAUGACAUGGGGACACGCAACACACAUGUGACACGACAUGGGAACACACGUGGCACAGGGAUGGGGACACACGUGAUACCACGACAUGGGGACACGUGACACACAUGUAACACAAUGACACAACACACGGACACACGUGACAAUGAGGUGGGAACACGUGACACGCGUGACACAACCACAUGACAUGCGAACACACGUGGCACAGAGAUGGGGACACACGUGACACAAUGACAUUCGGCCACGCAACACGCAUGUGACACAAUGACAUGACACGCUGACACACAACAUACCGACACACGUGUGACACAAUGCCGUGACGCGCGGACACACAACACGCAGACACACGUCUGACACACCAACAUGGCGGGAGAACACGUGUGACACAACCCCACGGGGACACGCGUGACACAGCAACGCGACACGGGGACACGCGUGACGUGGGGACACAGCACACACGUGGCACGACGACAUGGGGGAACACGGCAUGAGGACACGUGUGGGACACGUAUGACAUGAGGACACGCCACACACGUGACAAAGAUAUGACACGGAACAUACGUGACACACCAUG
rnacentral:lncRNA from 1 species